rnacentral:snoRNA from 1 species
UCCCUCUCAGGGUCACACCUGGAGAGUUUCCAGUACUCUACCAGUUUCGGCUAUGGGAGAGAGAGUCAAGCAGAGGCCUACCCAUUCAUUCCUAGCUUGGGCAGUGGCUAGCAAGGGGAAGGCAAUCUGCUACAAGU